UACGGGGGGGGCAAGCGUUGUUCGGAAUUACUGGGCGUAAAGGGCUCGUAGGCGGCCAACUAAGUCAGACGUGAAAUCCCUCGGCUUAACCGGGGAACUGCGUCUGAUACUGGAUGGCUUGAGUUUGGGAGAGGGAUGCGGAAUUCCAGGUGUAGCGGUGAAAUGCGUAGAUAUCUGGAGGAACACCGGUGGCGAAGGCGGUAUCCUGGACCACGACUGACGCUGAGGAGCGAAAGCCAGGGGAGCAAACGGG
rnacentral:rRNA from 1 species